rnacentral:rRNA from 1 species
AACGAACGCUGGCGGCAGGCCUAACACAUGCAAGUCGAACGAGAAGCCACCUUCGGGUGGUGGAAAGUGGCAGACGGGUGAGUAACGCGUGGGAACGUGCCUUUCGGUUCGGGACAACCCAGGGAAACUUGGGCUAAUACCGGAUACGCCCUUCGGGGGAAAGAUUCAUUGCCGAAAGAUCGGCCCGCGUCGGAUUAGCUAGUUGGUAGGGUAACGGCCUACCAAGGCGACGAUCCGUAGCUGGUCUGAGAGGAUGACCAGCCACACUGGGACUGAGACACGGCCCAGACUCCUACGGGAGGCAGCAGUGGGGAGUAUUGGACAAUGGGCGCAAGCCUGAUCCAGCCAUGCCGCGUGGGUGAAGAAGGCCCUAGGGUUGUAAAUCCCUUUCAGCGGGGAAGUUAAUGACGGUACCCGCAGAAGAAGUCCCGGCUAACUCCGUGCCAGCAGCCGCCGUAACAC